rnacentral:rRNA from 1 species
ACGAACGCUGGCGGCAUGCCUAACACCUGCCGGUCGAACGAGACCUUCGGGUCUAGUGGCGCACGGGUGCGUCACGCGUGGGAACCUGCCCUUAGGUUCGGAAUAACUCCCCGAAAGGGGUGCUAAUACCGGAUAAUGUCUUCGGACCAAAGAUUUAUCGCCUUUGGAUGGGCCCGCGUUGGAUUAGCUAGUUGGUAGGGUAAAAGCCUACCAAGGCGACGAUCCAUAGCUGGUCUGAGAGGAUGAUCAGCCACACUGGGACUGAGACACGGCCCAGACUCCUACGGGAGGCAGCAGUGGGGAAUAUUGGACAAUGGGCGAAAGCCUGAUCCAGCAAUGCCGCGUGAGUGAUGAAGGCCUUAGGGUUGUAAAGCUCUUUUACCCGGGAUGAUAAUGACAGUACCGGGAGAAUAAGCUCCGGCUAACUCCGUG